GGGGAGCCCAGGGCAGGGACCUGCCUCUCCCGAGAGCCGGACCCUGCCGGUGCGGGCCCGUGUGUGCUCAGGCACAAGGAUUCCUGUUUUCUCCUGCCUUCUGUAGUACCAGAAAUGAUGAGCUAAUGCUUUUAGCAAAAUAAGGAUGCUUUUAUGACCUCUGUUUAAUGACUCAGCAUUCCUGGUUUUAAUGAUAAGUAGUCCCAAUAAUAAUGAGGCAACAUCGGAUCUGUGCAGGUCCCGAAGCAGUUAUAAUGAAGGAUUCUCAAGAUGUCUGGCAGCAGUGACUCUGUUAAAGGCAGGUGUUCUCUGGAGAGGCUGCUCGUUCAGCGCCAGCCCUGCAGGGCCAGCAGACGCUGCACACACCAAAGGCGCCGUGCACAGACAGCUCUGCCUAAACCCGGAGUGCCCGGGGAGCUCUGUGUACAAACCUCUGUCGCUGCUCCGAGGAUGCCACAAUGCAGCAAACCAGCCUGUCACCGAGUCACCUGAUUGCACAAUCUCACUGAGAGAGCUGGAGAUGCAGAAAGAUGGAACGUUUUAAAGGGGAAAUGGAGAAUAAUGCAUAGCUAGCCGUCCCUCAGCAACCGAGCUGUGCAAGCUAGGGCAGCGCUGCGUGUGCUGGUGACCUCAAGCUGAAUGAAGAAGCCCACAAUUGCUUUGUAUAAAUUUCAACAGAGCUGAGAAGUAAAAGGGUAAAAUAGCUAAGGCAAUCUUUGAUGUUCUAAGAAGCACCUUUAAAAUACCGUAUCCAAUUAGGCAGUUGGAGAAGACAGCAGCCUGAAGCAGUGCUUAUGCAUUUAUUGUGAAACAGGAUUCUUUAGAAAGCACUGAGGACCAUGCUAGAGAUAUAGUCAAGAAAACGUGAGAGAGAUCAUUGCCCAGUAUGAGACAGCAUGAAUGUUUCACAGCAUGAGAGAAGAGAAUGCCUUAGAAGGAGCAGAGGAAAGGUCAAAGAGAAAGGAAGAAGAGAGCUGAGAGAUACUCACCUACGAGAAGGAGAAAUCAACAGCCAAAGUUGGAUCGGAAAAAAUGAGAAGCACGUGUAGGGAAUACAUAAAUCUGUAUUCUCCUGUCUAGUCACAUCAUGCAGAGAGAGGAAGGAGGAGAUAGCCUCAGGCCUAAAGAAGUUUGAAGUUCAUCACACAGGACUGAAGAAUAUCCAGAAGCCUGGACAAGAAGCCACCUAAUCUCAUCGUGUAUUUCAGCUGCCAUAUACAUGCAUAUGAUAAAGAACAUAUUAAAGUGAUGCACAGGGAGGUUACUGCACUAUUUAAAAAGUAGCUCUUUCCUUCCUCUGUUUUCAGAUCUUGCCGCUGUCCUGGUAGCAGUCUCACGGUAAACACACGAGCCCAACAAAUGUCAGCAGGUCAGGUAGGGUGGGAGCUAAAUGGUCCCAAAUCUUUUUUGAUGACUAAGAAGAGCCAGAUGAAAAAGACUGUCUCUCUACAGAUAUGUUAAAUAAAUAACUACUUCAUUAAA